CCUACGGGAGGCAGCAGUAGGGAAUCUUCCACAAUGGGCGAAAGCCUGAUGGAGCAACGCCGCGUGAGUGAAGAAGGUUUUCGGAUCGUAAAACUCUGUUGUAAGGGACAGAAGCAAGUGCAGUAGUAGAUCUUGCGGCUAGACACAGUACUUGACGGUACCUUAUUAGAAAGCCACGGCUAACUACGUGCCAGCAGCCGCGGUAAUACGUAGGUGGCAAGCGUUGUCCGGAAUUAUUGGGCGUAAAGCGCGCGCAGGCGGUUUCUUAAGUCUGAUGUGAAAGCCCUCGGCUUAACCGAGGAGGGUCAUUGGAAACUGGGAGACUUGAGUGCAGAAGAGGAAAGUGGAAUUCCAAGUGUAGCGGUGAAAUGCGUAGAGAUUUGGAGGAACACCAGUGGCGAAGGCGACUUUCUGGUCUGUAACUGACGCUGAGGCGCGAAAGCGUGGGGAGCAACCAGGAUUAGAUACCCUGGUAGUCCACGCCGUAAACGAUGAGUGCUAAGUGUUAGGGGGUUUCCGCCCCUUAGUGCUGCAGCUAACGCAUUAAGCACUCCGCCUGGGGAGUACGGUCGCAAGACUGAAACUCAAAGGAAUUGACGGGGGCCCGCACAAGCGGUGGAGCAUGUGGUUUAAUUCGAAGCAACGCGAAGAACCUUAC
rnacentral:rRNA from 1 species